ensembl:lncRNA
UUAUUCAGAAAAUAUUUGAUCAUUUGUUUCAAAAUGUACAUUUAAAAAAAUCCAUACAAAACUGUAGCUUGUUUCUAAAACCAGACAGAAACAGUGGGAAAAGGACCAAUAAAAAUUUCACCAAAAGUAAAAAGACGCCCCUCCCCCCAGCCCUUUAAUAAGAAAGCAUAAAUACGGUAGGUACGAAUUUUCCUUGAGUUCCUUGCUGAAUUUGGUCCAUCACAUGAACAGGUGACUGCAGAAACAGUCAAUGUGUCCACAUUUGCGUUGUGAGUCACGCAGGGGCACCAGCUCCAACGCUCAUCCUUUCGGUGCUUGACAAACAGAGUAACCGAAAAGUGAGGUUUAAUCACACAUGAAUCUGUACCCCAAAGAAUGUCGGCACUCACCACCACAGCCAGAUCCCAUUGUGGGGGAGCAGGGCUCACCACUGUGACCACUGUGGCUGAUUCUUGGAAACAUGGCCCAUCCUUUGCACAGGAACAAGAAACCCUGGAAUGCCUUUGGUGGUGACGGUGAUGUCAGCGACUCCAGACUGAUCUUAUUCCCAGACAUCGACACUGUCCCAGUCUGAGGAUGGUUUUUUUUUUUUUCUCUUCAACACAUUUUUUAUUUUAUUUUUGAAAACAAUGUAAAGAUUUCUUAGACGAUAGGGCACAUUCUAUAAGAUUGCCACAGAAACCCACCCAAGACCAUGAGAAUGACAGCUAACAACGAAGGGACUGACGCUUCUGUAAGGGAUGAUGACACCUCCCGUAGGUCCCCUCUCUCCUGUUACUGCAGGAUGCGGUAAGAGACAAAGGCCUGUGGAAAAGACCACUGGGAGGGUUAUUGCACAACCCGGAAUAGCGGGAUAUCAGGAAUGGGCAGGCAGGCAAGGCAAGGGUCAGGGAGGUGGGUUGGUGCGGAACUAGGAACACGAGAUAACCCUGACAGGAAUCCAGGAGCUCUGCAGCUACCAGACCAUAGGCACUGCCAAACAGGUUACCAAUGAGCUAAGACUUGAAACCAGCGAGUACAAGUAAAUACAUUCCUCACACAAACUUUGGGCUACAGGGAAGUAAAACAGAUGGGGAAGAGGGUGCUGUUUCUAAUCUGGGGUGGGAAUGAGGAAACCGAAAAAGCAGGGCUCACCACAUAGGGCCAGAGGUACACAGGGGUGACCCUUCUUCCCAACCCCCAAGCUUCCCUUAUGAAAUAGGAAGCAUGGGUGCCUGCAGCUGGGCCACCUCGAGAGUUUCCAUAGCCACCCGGUCAAGCCAGAAGGCAACAGACAAGGGGAACUUAGAAUAAACCAGAGAGUACACAAGGUCUUACAUUAUGUGCGAGGGAGAAGAGGGUCAGAACAAAUGAGACAAAACUGUCAACCCAUGUCCCUUUCCCCUGGAUCUGUGUUGAGGUAUGGUGUCAUUGCCUGUGUAUGCCAGUCAGCCCUAGAGCCCUGGCAGUUGGGGGGCCCAGCCAUACAGUACCAGUGAAGGCCACAAGGCAAUAUAAGGCACUUUUACAUGAAAGAACAAGGAUAAGAACGGGACGUUCGUAGAGGCUGCUCGGCAUGACUUUUCUUCUCAUCUGCAGAGCUUUGGAAGCGGAUGCAAUGGAGCUAACGCUAGCAUAAAAAGCCAGGGAUAAAUGGCGAGAAGUUGGUACCAGCAUCCUCCUAACGCUAGCCAUGGGCUGGAGAAGGAUUCUACAGAUGCUUUCAAAAGUCUGACACUGAUAUCCUCCUUUAAAUCCUGUUCUGAGGAAAGAAGGUGUAAGCUCGGGAGCACGAGGGAGGCAGAGGACCAGCUCACUGUUCGAACUCACAGGCUUCAAGUCCAUUCCACACCAGUGAAGAACAGAGGCCAGACACCAAGAAUGGAAAUCUGUCUCCUGGAGACACAGAGGCCCUCAGGCAGAGAAAGUUACCUAAGCUGAGACCCUAUACCUCCUCCCCGUCCCAGACUUCUGCAAACUCAACCGGCUGAGAGCCAUUAAAGACAAACGCCAAUGGAGGUCUUCCCUAGCUGCAAGGGAGUCAGCAGGUUUCUUUAAGGAUGCAGGGAAUCUAAGAGAACUUUGUAGGCUUUUUGGAAAAUGGGGAAAAAAAACCACUCAGAAAAAAAAAAUGCCAAAGGGGGCUUAAAAGGUCUCCACCUUCAGGGGCUCUUACAGUCCCAGGAACUCCACAAAAGCAUGGUGUGAGUAGCCAGAACACUGUCAUCUAAAUUUAAGUGACUUAAGUCCACCCUUAGGAUGCACCAGAUGAUGCUGCCUGAAAACCAUUUAGGUACGCAGGGCUAGGACUGGCUAGAAUGGCAGAAAGUUUUAGUUUGCUUCUCUUUCUCCCAGGACCACCUCAGAAUGUAGGAGGGACACAAGGAGCUAAUUCAUAGCGUAGGCAUCCAAACCUGGAUAGCUUGUAAAAGUAACCGUCCCAUCGCCACACCUCUGGGGAGGGCAACUAGUAACAGGGAGCUCUCCAUCCACCACUCUGCCACCUGGCGCCUGCUGGCGUUCCAGGGACACUGAGAGACAGGCAGUGGCUGCUGAGGUAGUGAUUAGCAUCUUCUGGUCCUGGUAGAUUGUGCUGAACAUCUGAAACUUGGAGGAGCAUGACAGGUCCCUCACUAAGGGUGUGGUAUUUUGGGGGAUGGGAGAGCCUGCAUAAAAUCAAAGAAUGGGGCCAGGGCACCCAAAUUAUAAGCUAGCCUGCGCACACGCAGGAUGGUGUAGAACUUGGUUGCUGUGAUUCUGGCAACAAGGUCUGUGCUAACUCUACAAAGUCUUGGCUUUCCUAUAACAUCAACGCCAGAGAGGCUGGGUGGAUGAGAAAGGGCCCCCUAGUUCCCCCAAGCCCGAAAUCAUCCCAGAAGUCAAGCCUGGGGAGGUGUUGCCCUUGGUCUCAGCUUUUCUGAAAUGAAUGCUCUAAACUCCUACCACUGACCAAACCCAUAUGUUCCAGAAGAGCCUUGGUCAAUCCCAACACUUGGAUUCUCGGUGAUAACACCCAACAUACAAGCAGCAAAGGAAGCCUGCAAGCACUCAAGGAACAGAUCCACACCAUCUCAGUCAUCUAAGUGUACUGGGAAAGAGUAGCAACCCCCCACCCCCACCCCGCCACAGCGACAGGACCACUGGAUCCUAGACAGCUGGCCUUUGUACUUCUGUUUCUCCAAGACCUCCACAUAUCUCAUGCUUGUCCCAAAUAUUUACUGAGGGAGUAACUCAAUAGUUCAGCCUAGAGACAAAGCUCCCACAGUGAGCUGGCAAAGGGCUUGCCAGUGUCUUAGGGAGACAGGCCCUUAACCUGGGGAUGGUCCCGGAGGACACUUAAACUGACGGGGUGAGGCGAUCUUGGGAGCCACUAGCUGAACUUUCACAUCGCUACAGGCAGCAUCUCAAAGCGUAAGCUUGAUUAAAAUCCCUAUGAGGAUGGGUGGGCUGCACGGCUAAAAGGUGCCAGCCAGAUCAAUUCUGUGGGGAUGCCCAGAGAAGGGCCAGGAGGCAAUAGAGAAAUGUACUUGCAAAAUUCUAUCUUGCUUCCUAAGCUCACACAAAAGAAGCCAAGGGGAUCUCAUUUCUAUUCUGUAUGCUUAACCUGGACACAGAGAGAAAAAAACAAACAAACAAACAAAAAAAAAAA